rnacentral:rRNA from 1 species
CCCUUAGAUGUUCUGGGCCGCACGCGCGCUACACUGAUGCAUUCAACGAGUUUUUCCUGGUCCGAGAGGAAUGGGUAACCUUUUGAAAGUGCAUCGUGCUAGGGAUAGACUAUUGCAAUUAUUGGUCUUCAACGAGGAAUUCCUAGUAAACGCAAGUCAUCAGCUUGCAUUGAUUACGUCCCUGCCCUUUGUACGCACCGCCCGUCGCACCUACUGAUUGAAUGACUCGGUGAAAAAUCGGGACUGCGAGAACAAUCGAUUAAUUUCGAAUGUACUUGUGGGAACUUUUUUUAACCUCGCCAUUUAGAAGAAGGUGAAGUCGUAACA